GGGCGAUUAGCUCAGCGGGAGAGCAUCCGCCUCACACGCGGAGGGUCACUGGUUCAAUCCCAGUAUCGCCCACCA
rnacentral:tRNA from 1 species